rnacentral:rRNA from 1 species
GGUGAACGCUGGCGGCGUGCUUAAGACAUGCAAGUCGAACGGCAGUCUUCGGACUGUAGUGGCGCACGGGUGAGUAACGCGUAACUGACCUACCCCAAAGUCGCGGAUAACGAUUCGAAAGAAUCGCUAAUACGUGAUGUGCUGUCAGAUUGUGUUCUGCCAGUAAAGAUUGAUUGCUUUGGGAUGGGGUUGCGUUCCAUCAGCUAGUUGGUGGGAUAAAGGCCCACCAAGGCGACGACGGAUAGCCGGCCUGAGAGGGUGGCCGGCCACAGGGGCACUGGGACACGGGUCCCAAUCCUACGGGAGGCAGCAGUUAGGAAUCUUCCACAAUGGGCGAAAGCCUGAUGGAGCGACGCCGCGUGAGGGAUGAAGGUCUUCGGAUCGUAAACCUCUGAAUCAGGGACGAAAGACACUUCGGUGGGAUGACGGUACCUGAGUAAUAGCACCGGCUAACUCCGUGCCAGCAGCAGCCGCCGUAA